rnacentral:rRNA from 1 species
GACGUAGGGCGCGAGCGUUGUCCGGAUUUAUUGGGCGUAAAGAGCUCGUAGGCGGCUUGUUGCGUCGACCGUGGAAACCUGUGGCUUAACCACAGGCUUGCGGUUGAUACGGGCAGGCUAGAGUUCGGUAGGGGAGACUGGAAUUCCUGGUGUAGCGGUGAAAUGCGCAGAUAUCGGGAGGAACACCAGUGGCGAAGGCGGCAACCUGGACAGAUAUUGACGCUGAGGUGCGAAAGCGUGGGGAGCAAACAGG